rnacentral:rRNA from 1 species
UGGGGAAUUUUGGACAAUGGGGGCAACCCUGAUCCAGCCAUGCCGCGUGAGUGAAGAAGGCCUUCGGGUUGUAAAGCUCUUUCGGCGGGGACGAAACGGUUCGCGCCAACACCGCGGACUAAUGACGGUACUCGCAGAAGAAGCACCGGCUAACUACGUGCCAGCAGCCGCGGUAAUACGUAGGGUGCGAGCGUUAAUCGGAAUUACUGGGCGUAAAGCGUGCGCAGGCGGUUCGCCAAGUCAGGUGUGAAAUCCCCGGGCUUAACCUGGGAAUUGCGCUUGAAACUAGCGGGCUUGAGUGUGGCAGAGGGGGGUGGAAUUCCACGUGUAGCAGUGAAAUGCGUAGAGAUGUGGAGGAACACCGAUGGCGAAGGCAGCCCCCUGGGUCAACACUGACGCUCAUGCACGAAAGCGUGGGGAGCAAACAGGAUUAGAUACCCCCGUAGUCCCUGAGCGGGCUGGCAAGGCGCAU